GUCUAUGGCCAUGCCACCCUGAACAAGCCUGAUUCUGUCUGAUCUCGGAAGAUAAGCAAUGUCAGGCCUGGUUAGUACUUGGAUGGGAGACCACCUAGGAAGACCAGGUGUUGUAGGAG
rnacentral:rRNA from 1 species